rnacentral:rRNA from 1 species
AUACGGAGGGUGCAAGCGUUAAUCGGAAUUACUGGGCGUAAAGCGCACGCAGGCGGUCUGUCAAGUCGGAUGUGAAAUCCCCGGGCUCAACCCGGGAACUGCAUUCGAAACUGUCAGGCUGGAGUCUCGUAGAGGGAGGUGGAAUUCCAGGUGUAGCGGUGAAAUGCGUAGAGAUCUGGAGGAAUACCGGUGGCGAAGGCGGCCUCCUGGACGAAGACUGACGCUCAGGUGCGAAAGCGUGGGGAGCAAACAGGAUUAGAUACCCUGGUAGUCCACGCCGUAAACGAUGUCUAUUUGGAAGUUGUGCCCCUGAGGUGUGGCUUCCGGAGCUAACGCGUUAAAUAGACCGCCUGGGGAGUACGGCCGCAAGGUUAAA